GACGAACGCUGGCGGCGUGCUUAACACAUGCAAGUCGAACGGAAAGGCCCUGCUUUUGUGGGGUGCUCGAGUGGCGAACGGGUGAGUAACACGUGAGUAACCUGCCCUUGACUUUGGGAUAACUUCAGGAAACUGGGGCUAAUACCGGCUAGGAGCUCCUGCUGCAUGGUGGGGGUUGGAAAGUUUCGGCGGUUGGGGAUGGACUCGCGGCUUAUCAGCUUGUUGGUGGGGUAGUGGCUUACCAAGGCUUUGACGGGUAGCCGGCCUGAGAGGGUGAACGGCCACAUUGGGACUGAGAGACGGCCCAGACUCCUACGGGAGGCAGCAGUGGGGAAUAUUGCACAAUGGGCGGAAGCCUGAUGCAGCAACGCCGCGUGCGGGAAGACGGCCUUCGGGUUGUAAACCGCUUUCGCCUGUGACGAAGCGUGAGUGACGGUAAUGGGUAAAGAAGCACCGGCUAACUACGUG
rnacentral:rRNA from 1 species